AGGGACUCGUCAAUGCCGGUGUUA
rnacentral:siRNA from 1 species